GGGAUGCAUGUUGAAUAAAAAAAGAAUUAGGGCAGAGAACCCCCUAAAAGAAUAUUAAAGUAUAUUUAGACUGGCAUGCACUAGCUAAAAUCGCUUUUAUAACGACUUGAAGCCAAGUAGAGUGGCACAUAGCAGUGCUCCAUAGAGCCACCCAUGGACAUUAAGACUUGCGUACAUUGUAUUUAUUUUGGCACAUCUA